ACGAACGCUGGCGGCGUGCCUAAUACAUGCAAGUAGAACGCACAGGAUGCACCGUAGUUUACUACACCGUAUUCUGUGAGUUGCGAACGGGUGAGUAACGCGUAGGUAACCUGCCUGGUAGCGGGGGAUAACUAUUGGAAACGAUAGCUAAUACCGCAUAAGAACAUUUACUGCAUGGUAGAUGUUUAAAAGGUGCAAAUGCAUCACUACCAGAUGGACCUGCGUUGUAUUAGCUAGUAGGUGAGGUAACGGCUCACCUAGGCGACGAUACAUAGCCGACCUGAGAGGGUGAUCGGCCACACUGGGACUGAGACACGGCCCAGACUCCUACGGGAGGCAGCAGUAGGGAAUCUUCGGCAAUGGGGGGAACCCUGACCGAGCAACGCCGCGUGAGUGAAGAAGGUUUUCGGAUCGUAAAGCUCUGUUGUUAAGGAAGAACGAGUGUGAGAAUGGAAAGUUCAUACUGUGACGGUACUUAACCAGAAAGGGACGGCUAACUACGUG
rnacentral:rRNA from 1 species